rnacentral:tRNA from 1 species
GGCGAUGGCUCAGUUGGUUUAGCGAUGGUCUUGUAACCAUAAGGUUGAAGGGU